ACGGAGGGUGCAAGCGUUAAUCGGAAUUACUGGGCGUAAAGCGCGUGUAGGCUGUAUGGCAAGUUGGAGGUGAAAUCCCACGGCUCAACCGUGGAACUGCCUUCAAAACUACCAAACUGGAGUGCGAGAGAGGAUAGCGGAAUUCCAGGUGUAGGAGUGAAAUCCGUAGAUAUCUGGAAGAACAUCAGUGGCGAAGGCGGCUAUCUGGCUCGUAACUGACGCUGAGAUGCGAAAGCGUGGGUAGCAAACAG
rnacentral:rRNA from 1 species